rnacentral:lncRNA from 1 species
CUCUGCAACUCAAGAAACAGUGUGAAUUCUGCUUUUACAUAUGCAGCACCUCCCUACCAUAACACAACAACAACAAGUACAACAACAACAAAACAACAACAACAACAAAAACGUAGAACUAGGCAGGUCUGGGAUUUAACAAAGCAGUGACAUUUUCUGCUUGCUUCAAGACUGUACUAUGGCAUCAUACUUGUACUAGUUUAUGGGGAAAAAAUCCUUCCUAGAACCCCCUAUUUCUCUGAUGGUGUGCUCAGCUUCACUGGAUUUGAAGACUAGUAGCUUCAGGCUUCCUGAAGGAGAAAGGGAAGCUUCAGAAGUGUACUGCUCAUGUGCUGCUGACACAGCAUGGGUGGAGUUGUGUGAAGGGAAGUGGAGAGGGGAGGACAAUCCCUGUGUGAGAACCACCUUCAGAACAAAAGCUGAGACUUCAAAGUGGGUGAAAAAACCUCUGUUAACACUUCUAAAAUGUUAUAAUAAAUGA